GAACGGCAGCAUGAUCUAGCUUGCUAGAUUGAUGGCGAGUGGCGAACGGGUGAGUAAUACAUCGGAACGUGCCCUGUAGUGGGGGAUAACUAGUCGAAAGAUUAGCUAAUACCGCAUACGACCUGAGGGUGAAAGUGGGGGACCGCAAGGCCUCAUGCUAUAGGAGCGGCCGAUGUCUGAUUAGCUAGUUGGUGAGGUAAAGGCUCACCAAGGCGACGAUCAGUAGCUGGUCUGAGAGGACGAUCAGCCACACUGGGACUGAGACACGGCCCAGACUCCUACGGGAGGCAGCAGUGGGGAAUUUUGGACAAUGGGGGCAACCCUGAUCCAGCAAUGCCGCGUGUGUGAAGAAGGCCUUCGGGUUGUAAAGCACUUUUGUCCGGAAAGAAAUCGCACUUACUAAUAUUAGGUGUGGAUGACGGUACCGGAAGAAUAAGGACCGGCUAACUACGUGCCAGCAGCCGCGGUAAUACGUAGGGUCCAAGCGUUAAUCGGAAUUACUGGGCGUAAAGCGUGCGCAGGCGGUUGUGCAAGACCGAUGUGAAAUCCCCGGGCUUAACCUGGGAAUUGCAUUGGUGACUGCACGGCUAGAGUGUGUCAGAGGGGGGUAGAAUUCCACGUGUAGCAGUGAAAUGCGUAGAGAUGUGGAGGAAUACCGAU
rnacentral:rRNA from 1 species